AUUGAACGCUGGCGGCAGGCCUAACACAUGCAAGUCGAACGGUAACAGGAAGAAUCUUGCUUCUUUGCUGACGAGUGGCGGACGGGUGAGUAAUGUCUGGGAAACUGCCUGAUGGAGGGGGAUAACUACUGGAAACGGUAGCUAAUACCGCAUAACGUCGCAAGACCAAAAAGGGGGACCUUCGGGCCUCUUGCCAUCGGAUGUGCCCAGAUGGGAUUAGCUAGUAGGUGGGGUAACGGCUCACCUAGGCGACGAUCCCUAGCUGGUCUGAGAGGAUGACCAGCCACACUGGAACUGAGACACGGUCCAGACUCCUACGGGAGGCAGCAGUGGGGAAUAUUGCACAAUGGGCGCAAGCCUGAUGCAGCCAUGCCGCGUGUAUGAAGAAGGCCUUCGGGUUGUAAAGUACUUUCAGCGGGGAGGAAGGGAGUAAAGUUAAUACCUUUGCUCAUUGACGUUACCCGCAGAAGAAGCACCGGCUAACUCCGUG
rnacentral:rRNA from 1 species